UGAUCACCUGGGGAGGACUCAGAGCCUGCUGCGGCUCAUAGGGCAAAUGCAGGAGGUGUGCUGGUUCUUUGCAGCUAGAGGAGGAACUUCUUCACCCCAAGGCUUGAAGGUAGUAGGAGCCUGCGAAGAGCUUCCUAAGGAGUCCUGGCUCGUCCUGACCAUAGUUUGUGGAUCAGAACAAAGUGUCAGGUGGGCCAGGGGAUUGGUGUCAAAAUCAGAAGUCUGAAUCUGGUCUGUGAACUUGGGAGCAUCUCAAGCUGAAGGAUACAGUACUCUCGAGUGAAGUGAGAAAAUCAUGUCUGUGACAAACGCCAGCUGGUGGCAGCUGCAGGAGCAGAGGAUUUCAGCCCUCCCACGUUCAGCACUUGGGACACAUGUGGCAGAAUGGUGCCUGCAAAAAGAGGAGAUUUUAUUUUCUGUGGCAUUAAUUACAGAUGGGAUUUAGCAGCUCUGACCUUCAUUCCUGACUCUGGUGACAGCUUGAUGGGUGACAUGAGGCAAAUCGCACACUCCAUGCCCUGCUUUCCCUGGGCACAGCUGUAUUUACCCGGUGAUUGGUGAGCUAAGGAUGUUUUUAGGUGCUCUGUUAAGAGCCAGGUAGCAUUGGCCAUCAACAGCAUGCUGGAAUUUCAUGAUACUGCAUCUUGCGGCAACAUUUUGUAAUGUGCAACCAUUUAGAAAUUAUUUUUCACUCUGAAAAAAAGCCUACUGAUGCUGGCGCUCAAGAAAUUCCCUAUCCUAUCUACAGGGAAAUUAAAAAUGUGAAUUUUUAAAGCCUGGAAGCAGGGCUGUUCCCAGAUUGUUCCCCUUCUGAUCAGGGGAGAGAAGAUCACGCAGUUCCAUAAAAACAGCAUCCCCUUCCAGCCCGGCCAGGCUGGGUCGUUAUCUUUUUUGAUUACCAGUAGUUUGACUUUAUUUACCCUCUGUGAAAUGCUUAUGAGCAUUUGGCUGUGCAUUUAAUGCAUGCAACUUACUUUGGGGUCCUUUGAAUACUUGAGCAUGAAGGGAUAUAAACAUAAACGCAGACAGAUUUAUUGCAGUCUAAUUUAAUAAAAAUGUCAACAAAUAAAUGCAUGUUUGGCAGGGGAAUAAAUAUCAAAUAGGAGUGAAGCAGACAGUGGAGUACGUUGUAAGAAAUUAACAUGAAACAUUUUGGUUUGACAGCGACUAUAAAAUAAAACUGUACUUUGGGGACUUUGGGAGUGAUUUAGCAGAGGUGUGCUCCCAGGGCGCGCACAACCCGCUUGCACGAACCAAGCGAGGGGAAAGAGCUUGAGGACAAGCCCAUUCUGCUACUGAGGGGAAUGGGUUGUGAUCUGCUGCUUGCAUCUGCAAACUGGCAUUUAACGUCAGGGGAGCACGGUGCUGCCUGGGCUGCUUUCCCUGUGCAGGGCUGUGGCUGUGCCUGCACGUGGGCAGCCCCCUCCUGUGCCAGCCAGCCUGCUCCUUCUGCCUGCUGCCUGGCUUGUUUGGCCCUGCAACUCCAGCUCUGGGCUCUCUCGUGCAGUUAGGCUUCAGGAAAGAGGCAGGGAGGAGA